AACGAACGCUGGCGGCAUGCCUAACACAUGCAAGUCGAACGAUGCCUUCGGGCAUAGUGGCGCACGGGUGCGUAACGCGUGGGAAUCUGCCUUUCGGUUCGGAAUAACUCAGGGAAACUUGAGUUAAUACCGGAUAACGUCGCAAGACCAAAGAUUUAUCACCGAAAGAUGAGCCCGCGUAGGAUUAGCUAGUUGGUGAGGUAAAGGCUCACCAAGGCGACGAUCCUUAGCUGGUCUGAGAGGAUGAUCAGCCACACUGGGACUGAGACACGGCCCAGACUCCUACGGAAGGCAGCAGUGGGGAAUAUUGGACAAUGGGCGAAAGCCUGAUCCAGCAAUGCCGCGUGAGUGAUGAAGGCCUUAGGGUUGUAAAGCUCUUUGACCCGGGAAGAUAAUGACGGUACCGGGAGAAUAAGCCCCGGCUAACUCCGUG
rnacentral:rRNA from 1 species